CUUGUACCUAGAAAGAUGUAGGACAUUCUAGAAUAGUCUUGAGUUGUAAGGAACCCUCCAAGGUUCCAGAGAGUUCCAUUGGUGCCUAUAAAUAGGUGAGGGCCUCAUUUGGUCAAGGCACCAAGCAAGUGAGCUUCCAAGCACUUGUAAAGGCUUCUUUGAGUAAUAAAGAGCUUCCAUUCUUUAAGGAGUUGCCUACUAAGCCUCUUAAGCUUUCGAGUCGCGAGUGUCUUAGCCAAGCAAGCUAAGCAUUAGGGAUCAAGGC
rnacentral:lncRNA from 1 species